UUUUGACCUCGGAUCAGGUAGGGAUACCCGCUGAACUUAAGCAUAUCAAAUAAGCGGAGGA
rnacentral:rRNA from 1 species